rnacentral:tRNA from 1 species
GGGCUGGGGCUCAGCGGUAGAGCACUUGUCUCACACAUGUGAGACACUGGGUUCAAUCCUCAGCACCACA